GUUUUGUGCAGCACAACUCGAUAACUACUCUCCACUACUUUCAAAAGAUUUCUGCAAUGACCUACACUUCUAACUUCCUCCUUAUCCAUUAUAUGAUCCUCCGCUCCAUGAACCGUUUUUAUAAAGAAGCACACAACUGAUAAAAAGUGAAGACAAAACCAUUCUCAACUAUCAAUUCAGAAAAUGUCCCGGCAAAAAUCUUAACUGAUGCAGGCAGUUAAUAGUCAAAGUUAUUACACAAA